AGAGUUUGAUCCUGGCUCAGAACGAACGCUGGCGGCAUGCCUAACACAUGCAAGUCGAACGAGACCUUCGGGUCUAGUGGCGCACGGGUGCGUAACGCGUGGGAACCUGCCCUUAGGUUCGGAAUAACAGUUAGAAAUGACUGCUAAUACCGGAUAAUGUCUUCGGACCAAAGAUUUAUCGCCUUUGGAUGGGCCCGCGUAAGAUUAGCUAGUUGGUGGGGUAAAGGCCUACCAAGGCGACGAUCUUUAGCUGGUCUGAGAGGAUGAUCAGCCACACUGGGACUGAGACACGGCCCAGACUCCUACGGGAGGCAGCAGUGGGGAAUAUUGGACAAUGGGCGAAAGCCUGAUCCAGCAAUGCCGCGUGAGUGAUGAAGGCCUUAGGGUUGUAAAGCUCUUUUACCAGGGAUGAUAAUGACAGUACCUGGAGAAUAAGCUCCGGCUAACUCCGUGCCAGCAGCCGCGGUAAUACGGAGGGAGCUAGCGUUGUUCGGAAUUACUGGGCGUAAAGCGCGCGUAGGCGGCGAUCCAAGUCAGGGGUGAAAUCCCGGGGCUCAACCCCGGAACUGCCUCUGAAACUAGGUUGCUAGAAUACUGGAGAGGUGAGUGGAAUUCCGAGUGUAGAGGUGAAAUUCGUAGAUAUUCGGAAGAACACCAGUGGCGAAGGCGACUCACUGGACAGUUAUUGACGCUGAGGUGCGAAAGCGUGGGGAGCAACAGGAUUAGAUACCCUGGUAGUCCACGCCCGUAACGAUGAUACUAGCUGCUUGGGCUCAUAGAGCUUGGGGUGGGCGCAGCUAACGCAUUUAAGUUAUCCGCCCUGGGGAGUUACGGUUCGCAGAUAAAACUUCAAGGAUUGACGGGGGCUGGCACAGCGGUGGGAGCAUGUGGAUUCAGUCGAGGCACGCGCAGAUCUUAACAGCGAUGACAUGUAGAACGGAUUUCUGGAACUGACUC
rnacentral:rRNA from 1 species